rnacentral:rRNA from 1 species
GACGAACGCUGGCGGCGUGCUUAACACAUGCAAGUCGAACGGAAAGGCCCUGCUUUUGUGGGGUGCUCGAGUGGCGAACGGGUGAGUAACACGUGAGUAACCUGCCCUUGACUUUGGGAUAACUUCAGGAAACUGGGGCUAAUACCGGAUAGGAGCUCCUGCUGCAUGGUGGGGGUUGGAAAGUUUCGGCGGUUGGGGAUGGACUCGCGGCUUAUCAGCUUGUUGGUGGGGUAGUGGCUUACCAAGGCUUUGACGGGUAGCCGGCCUGAGAGGGUGACCGGCCACAUUGGGACUGAGAUACGGCCCAGACUCCUACGGGAGGCAGCAGUGGGGAAUAUUGCACAAUGGGCGGAAGCCUGAUGCAGCAACGCCGCGUGCGGGAUGACGGCCUUCGGGUUGUAAACCGCUUUCGCCUGUGACGAAGCGUGAGUGACGGUAAUGGGUAAAGAAGCACCGGCUAACUACGUGCCAGCAGCCGCGGUGAUACGUAGGGUGCGAGCGUUGUCCGGAUUUAUUGGGCGUAAAGGGCUCGUAGGUGGUUGAUCGCGUCGGAAGUGUAAUCUUGGGGCUUAACCCUGAGCGUGCUUUCGAUACGGGUUGACUUGAGGAAGGUAGGGGAGAAUGGAAUUCCUGGUGGAGCGGUGGAAUGCGCAGAUAUCAGGAGGAACACCAGUGGCGAAGGCGGUUCUCUGGGCCUUUCCUGACGCUGAGGAGCGAAAGCGUGGGGAGCGAACAGGCUUAGAUACCCUGGUAGUCCACGCUGUAAACGGUGGGUACUAGGCGUGGGGUCCAUUCCACGGGUUCCGUGCCGUAGCUAACGCCUUAAGUACCCCGCCUGGGGAGUACGGCCGCAAGGCUAAAACUCAAAGGAAUUGACGGGGCCCCGCACAAGCGGCGGAGCAUGCGGAUUAAUUCGAUGCAACGCGUAGAACCUUACCUGGGUUUGACAUGGAUCGGGAGUGCUCAGAGAUGGGUGUGCCUCUUUUGGGGUCGGUUCACAGGUGGUGCAUGCCUGUCGUCAGCUCGUGUCGUGAGAUGUUGGGUUAAGUCCCGCAACGAGCGCAACCCUUGUUCACUGUUGCCAGCACGUUAUGGUGGGGACUCAGUGGAGACCGCCGGGGUCAACUCGGAGGAAGGUGGGGAUGACGUCAAGUCAUCAUGCCCCUUAUGUCCAGGGCUUCACGCAUGCUACAAUGGCUGGUACAGAGAGUGGCGAGCCUGUGAGGGUGAGCGAAUCUCGGAAAGCCGGUCUCAGUUCGGAUUGGGGUCUGCAACUCGACCUCAUGAAGUCGGAGUCGCUAGUAAUCGCAGAUCAGCAACGCUGCGGUGAAUACGUUCCCGGGGCU